CCCUCCUCCUGCUGUUGGUGGUGUUCAUCCAAGCAAGUCAAGUUCUGCUGGAGCGGCUGAGGUCACAGCUCAGGGGAGCAGUGAUUGGUUGGAGCUGAUGUGGUCGUUUGCAGCCAGUUUGUUGGCUCCAGAUGAGGAAGAAGAAGGUAUUCACCUGCUAAAUGAAAGCCUCACAUCGUUCCUUUCUGAGGCGUUGUGAUGGAGGACAGCUGCUUCGGAAGACAAUAACAGACAAACACUAAAACCCAGACAGACAAGAAGAAGAGGCGAAAUGAAUGUGGAAGAAAGGAUGCAGAGGAAGGAAAGGAGGAAA